UUUUUUUUCUUUUUUAGGAAUAGAUUUUUUUAAACCUUCCAUUAGCAUGACCAAUAAAACUAAAUAAAAUAGAAGUAUACGAACAAAAAUAAAAAUUGAGUCAGACCAUACAGUUUGUGGUCAAUUUGUAAGUUCUGGAAUUGUAUAAUUUGAAUCCAGUUCUGACACUGACUAAUGAGCUUAGAUGAAUUAUUUAACAGGUAUAAACUUCACUUUCUCCAUAUGUACGAACUAGGUUAAUAGUAGUACCAACCACUUGGACUGUUAAAAGCUAAAAGAGAUAGCAGUUGGAAAGCAUUUAUCAUAGAAUCUGGCAGGAAGUACAUUUUCACUAAAUCUUUGGUAUUAUUACCAUUUUAAACUUCAGCUGGCUAAACAUCUUUAUCAAAGUAUCUUCCGGUGAGUGUAAGUCUUUAACCAAUAUCUCACAUGGGUUUGCCAAGAAUCUACUAAGCUAGCAGUAUCACAGUCAUAAAUAUUCAUUAUGUUGCUGAUAUAGCCUAUCUUAGGGUCGUUCCCUAGAAACAGAGCCCAGGCAAAAGCAGAUGUGCUAAUGCUUUAUUGAGGAAUGCUAUCCAGAAACAUAGGCAUGAGGGAAAAAGGGUUGAAGAUCAAAUACAAAUAGUCCUGGACACACAGUUUCACGAUGAACUGAUUGCUCAUUUUUACAAGAUAGCUUUAGUGUGCAUUUAUGAAGCUACUUAGUCUCUAAACAGUCUUUUUAUGAUGGAGAAAGAGAGUAGAAUUUAUCUACCAGCCCUCUCAUUGUUCAAAAUUUGCCCCAAGGGCAUUAUUAACACUUGUAAGUUGCACACACACAGGUUCCCAGUAGAUCCCUUAGUGUCUUGCUUCUCAGAUAGGGAAACCACAGGGCUAGAACAAGAGGUCAGUGAGGAGGUGAGCUGAUGUUUUAGGGGCAUGCCCAUGAAUAACAUAGGAAAUAGAAAAUAGCUACCACAGUAAGCUUAUUUGUCUGUAGAAGCAGGGACACCUCCCUUCAGACAGCAAGACAAAUGCGUGGAAUUGGAGCAGUGCAUAAACUGACUCUGAUAUACACGCUAGCUAAAGGAACUCAGAGUUAAGGGAUAUAGGACUAAAAAUCCCUAGACAAAUCAAAUCAUAUCUCUUUCUCUUCUAAAUUAGCUGGGUCUGGGGUAUAUCAAGUUUCCCUGAAUAUCUGAAGCACUCACAAACAAACUCUAUAUGAGCAUCUCCAUUAAACUCCCAGAAAUCUGGUACUAUAAUUGGUCUUCAAUUUUUUCAAAUGCCAUUUCAUUCUCUGUCAAGUAAAUGAGCAAGAAUGUCAAACAUUGAACCCCCCCGAAAAAAAAAAUUUAACUGAAACAAAAACAGUGCAGUUAGAAAACAUGCUAUACAGGAAGAAAAGAACCUACCUCAUCAACUGUUUUCAAAAACUAUGCUAAAAGUUCCUCAUAUUAAAUAACUUGUAGACAAAAGUACCUUUAAGGCUUCUGUAUAAGUUAAUAUUUGGUAUAUAUUUUACUAAGAUACAAACCAGAGCUAUUUGGGGGUAUAUCAUAUAACUAAGAAUUAUUUACUUUACCUCAAAGAAAAUAAAAUAAUGGGAAAGUUUUUAAGAUGUAUUCUUAUUAACUUUGAAUGGAAAAAGAAGUUGGGAUGAAAGUAUUAAGAUUUUUGGAAGAUAAUGCUUAGCUCAGAAGGAUCCUGCCUUAAUCUGUUAGAUUGGCUUCAACCAAAGCUAGAUAAAUUGCCACUGUAGUAAGGUAACUUUGACUGGAAAAUGGACAAAAAUAACAUUAGUUUUAGAAAUUAGAAAGACUUAAAGGGCCAGUGGUAGACUAUAUAAUUUGGAAUAGUUCUCUGCUAUGUAUUAGAAAGUUUGGACAAAAUAUAUAAAACAUCUUUAAGACAUAGGGAAAUGUUAGAGAAAAGUUACUAGUUCAGAAUCUUGAGAUACAAAAGAGAACCAGAAAAGUGUGCCCACCUUUGUAACCACUUUUCACCUUUUCUCCCCUAAUUUGAAAGAGGAAGAAUGAGAGAGUGAGUGGUGUCCUUCCUUGAUAGAACAUUAACAGCCCAGAGCCUGCCUAAGGGAGCUCCCAGUUUAAUCUUUACCUUCAGUUAAAACCCUGGAAGACUGUACAUUUAGAUGAUAAGGGUGAAGGACAAGGAUAAGAAUGAAGUGUAGUGGAUAGCACUUACAGGAAUCACAGCUCAGUUUAAAAUCAUCGCAAUAUAUGAUGUUGGAUUAAGAUGAUUUCCCAAUCUUGUUAAUGCUCCCAGAUGCUUAGUAAAUCCUCUCUGGAAAUUAGAACACUAUCUUCUUUUCUAGAAUGUUUUUAAGGAGAAUCUGUAAACACAUUAUCUGGGAAUGAGGGUUUGGGGGAAAACAGACACAGAAAAUAAUGCUACUGAAAAGUAGCAAAAACAAACCAUAGAAACAAAUAGGAAGUCCAAAUUUUUAGUUAAUACUUACUCAGCUCAAGGAUAUAAAAGAUAAGAUUUUAAACUUAAGCAAAGAACUGAAAUCUCGUUCUUAAAAUAGAAAUUUCAGAACAAUCAAAAAACUAAUUACCAAAAUUCAGAUCUCAAUGAACAGGUCUUACAAUAAAUUAAAAAUAAUUGAAGAGAGAAUUAGCAAACUGAGAUGUAGGUCAGAAGAAAAUUUUCAGAAUGAAGUAUGGAGAGACUAAAGAAUGAAAAAUACAGAAAAGAAAAUAAGAAUUAUAAAAAGACAGUAUAAAACCCUAACACAGGGAUGCUUGGGUGACUCAGUCGAUUAAGUGUCCCGACUAUUGAUUUUGGCUUAGGUGGUGAUCUCAGGGUCACCAUGAGAUUGAGCCCCAUCUUGGGCUCUGCACAGAGCUUGGAACCUGCUUAAGA
rnacentral:lncRNA from 1 species